rnacentral:rRNA from 1 species
UACGUAGGGCGAAAGCGUUAUCCGGAAUUAUUGGGCGUAAAGAGCUCGUAGGCGGUUUGUCGCGUCUGCCGUGAAAGUCCGGGGCUCAACCCCGGAUCUGCGGUGGGUACGGGCAGACUAGAGUGAUGUAGGGGAGAUUGGAAUUCCUGGUGUAGCGGUGGAAUGCGCAGAUAUCAGGAGGAACACCAAUGGCGAAGGCAGAUCUCUGGGCCGUAACUGACGCUGAGGAGCGAAAGCAUGGGGAGCGAACCGG